CGGGAUCUGGCAACACCGGGCCUUUGACCCUAAGGGUCCCCAGUUUACUACAGCCCCGGGCACCCUGGGCCUCCUCUGCCCCGUGUGUGACCUCUGGCCCUUGCUCUCAGGCUGCGGUUCUCAGUCACCGGGGUUUUGCCCUCAGCAGGUGUUUGGCAACAUCUACAGACGUUCGGGGGUCACGGAAGGGGCAGAGGCUGCUCCUGGCAUCAAGCGGGGCUGCCCCCACAGCACAGAGCGACCCACCCUGUGUCGAGGAGGCUACAGUGAACCUGCAGGAAGGAGCCAAGAAAAUGUGGUGCAAAAAAACCCAUCCCAGCACCAGCCUCCAGGAUUGGUGGAAUAGAGAGGCACAUGGCCCGGGGAACUUGCCCAGAUCCUAACUUACUGGCAAAAUAUGGCCUAUGCUGGAGUUGAAUCUCAGCAGGAAGGAGGUUGGAGACCUUACUUCUCAACUCAAAAGGGGCCUCAUCCCCCUAAUGUUGGUGAUGCUUUUUCUUGCCAAGGGACCAGAAACUCAUUUCUGUGCCCCACCCUUGGGCAGUGCUCCAGUAUCCACUCCAGGGAAAUAGAAGGAGGAGGCCCCGCAGCCUGCCAAGGCCGGACUGUUCUUCACUUGGAAAUAUCAUCCCAGCCCUGCUCCCACAGCCCCCUCCUUCCACAGCCCCCUCCUUCCUCCACCCCACAAGGCUAUUCGUGAAAGAAUUAAAAAUGAGCCCAGCACUAAGGCGAUCUGAGUAAUAAAUGUGUUGGGACAACCAGA
ensembl:lncRNA